rnacentral:rRNA from 1 species
AAUCGUAAGGUUUGCUGGAGGUAUCAGAAGUGCGAAUGCUGACAUGAGUAACGACAAAGGGGGUGAAAAACCUCCUCGCCGGAAGACCAAGGGUUCCUGUCCAACGUUAAUCGGGGCAGGGUGAGUCGACCCCUAAGGUGAGGCCGAAAGGCGUAAUCGAUGGGAAACGGGUUAAUAUUCCCGUACUUCUGACUAUUGCGAUGGGGGGACGGAGAAGGCUAGGUGGGCCAGGCGACGGUUGUCCUGGUUCAAGUGCGUAGGCUUGAGAGUUAGGUAAAUCCGGCUCUCUCUAAGGCUGAGACACGACGUCGAGCUACUACGGUAGUGAAGUCAUUGAUGCCAUGCUUCCAGGAAAAGCCUCUAAGCUUCAGAUAGUCAGGAAUCGUACCCCAAACCGACACAGGUGGUCGGGUAGAGAAUACCAAGGCGCUUGAGAGAACUCGGGUGAAGGAACUAGGCAAAAUGGUACCGUAACUUCGGGAGAAGGUACGCUCUUGAUGGUGAAGUCCCUCGCGGAUGGAGCUGACGAGAGUCGCAGAUACCAGGUGGCUGCAACUGUUUAUUAAAAACACAGCACUGUGCAAAAUCGCAAGAUGACGUAUACGGUGUGACGCCUGCCCGGUGCCGGAAGGUUAAUUGAUGGGGUUAGCGCAAGCGAAGCUCUUGAUCGAAGCCCCGGUAAACGGCGGCCGUAACUAUAACGGUCCUAAGGUAGCGAAAUUCCUUGUCGGGUAAGUUCCGACCUGCACGAAUGGCGUAAUGAUGGCCACGCUGUCUCCACCCGAGACUCAGUGAAAUUGAAAUCGCUGUGAAGAUGCAGUGUACCCGCGGCUAGACGGAAAGACCCCGUGAACCUUUACUACAGCUUGGCACUGAACAUUGAACCUACAUGUGUAGGAUAGGUGGGAGGCUAUGAAGACGUGACGCCAGUUGCGUUGGAGCCGUCCUUGAAAUACCACCCUUGUAUGUUUGAUGUUCUAACUUAGACCCAUUAUCUGGGUUGAGGACAGUGCCUGGUGGGUAGUUUGACUGGGGCGGUCUCCUCCCAAAGAGUAACGGAGGAGCACGAAGGUGGGCUAAUCACGGUUGGACAUCGUGAGGUUAGUGCAAUGGCAUAAGCCCGCUUAACUGCGAGAAUGACGGUUCGAGCAGGUGCGAAAGCAGGUCAUAGUGAUCCGGUGGUUCUGUAUGGAAGGGCCAUCGCUCAACGGAUAAAAGGUACUCCGGGGAUAACAGGCUGAUACCGCCCAAGAGUUCAUAUCGACGGCGGUGUUUGGCACCUCGAUGUCGGCUCAUCACAUCCUGGGGCUGAAGUCGGUCCCAAGGGUAUGGCUGUUCGCCAUUUAAAGUGGUACGCGAGCUGGGUUUAGAACGUCGUGAGACAGUUCGGUCCCUAUCUGCCGUGGGCGUUGGAAGAUUGAAGGGGGCUGCUCCUAGUACGAGAGGACCGGAGUGGACGAACCUCUGGUGUUCGGGUUGUGUCGCCAGACGCAUUGCCCGGUAGCUAAGUUCGGAAUUGAUAAGCGCUGAAAGCAUCUAAGCGCGAAGCGAGCCCUGAGAUGAGUCUUCCCUGACAGUUUAACUGUCCUAAAGGGUUGUUCGAGACUAGAACGUUGAUAGGCAGGGUGUGUAAGCGUUGUGAGGCGUUGAGCUAACCUGUACUAAUUGCCCGUGAGGCUUAACCAUACAACACCCAAGG